GCUCAGGAUGAACGCUAGCGGCAGGCCUAAUACAUGCAAGUCGAACGGUGAUAGCAAUAUCAUAGUGGCGCACGGGUGCGUAACACGUAUGCAACCUACCUUAUACUGAGGGAUAGCCUUUCGAAAGGGAGAUUAAUACCUCAUAACACAUUGAACUGGCAUCAGUUUAUUGUUAAAGAUUUAUUGGUAUAAGAUGGGCAUGCGUCCAAUUAGUUAGUUGGCGAGGUAACGGCUCACCAAGACGAUGAUUGGUAGGGGAACUGAGAGGUUAAUCCCCCACACUGGCACUGAGAUACGGGCCAGACUCCUACGGGAGGCAGCAGUAGGGAAUAUUGGGCAAUGGAGGCAACUCUGACCCAGCCAUGCCGCGUGCAGGAAGAAGGCGUUAUGCGUUGUAAACUGCUUUUAUAUAGGAAGAAAUAGACCUUGCGAGGUAAGUUGACGGUACUAUAUGAAUAAGCACCGGCUAACUCCGUGCCAGCAGCCGCGGUAAUACGGAGGGUGCAAGCGUUGUCCGGAUUUAUUGGGUUUAAAGGGUGCGUAGGCGGUUUAUUAAGUCAGUGGUGAAAGACGGUCGCUCAACGAUUGCAGUGCCAUUGAUACUGGUAGACUUGAGUGGGAUUGAGGUAGCUGGAAU
rnacentral:rRNA from 1 species